CACCAGCCCCUCGAGUGGUGGGGAUGAUUAUUUGGCCUAAAGCGUCCGUAGCCGGCUGGGUAAGUUUCCCGUUAAAUCCAGCGUCUCAAGCGUUGGACUGCGGGAAAUACUGCCUGGCUAGAGAGUGGGAGAGGUCAGCGGUAUUCUGGGGGUAGGGGCGAAAUCCUUUGAUCCCCGGAGGACCACCAGUGGCGAAGGCUGCUGACUAGAACACGUCUGACGGUCAGGGACGAAAGCUGGGGUAGCGAACCGGAUUAGAUACCCGGGUAGUCCCAGCCGUAAACGAUGCAUGCUAGGUGUUGGGUUGGCCACGAGCCACCCCAGUGCCGCAGGGAAGCCGUUAAGCAUGCCGCCUGGGAAGUACGAUCGCAAGAUUGAAACUUAAAGGAAUUGGCGGGGAGCACUACCAGGCGUGAAGCCUGCGGUUU
rnacentral:rRNA from 1 species